rnacentral:misc_RNA from 1 species
UAUCCGUAGGUGAACCUGCGGAAGGAUCGUUAUCGAAAAGCAAUCCGGGGGGGAGGCCGCCGAGCGAAGUUUGGUAGAUCGUAGGGAUUGUCGCUGGCCUUUGGAAACGAAGGCAUGUGCACGUUCCGAGUUCUCCUUAGUCCUCCUUUGCCUUUCCUUUGGAAGACCCUUUCUUCACACCCGUGCACACAUUGUAGGUCUCCGCGAGGGGAUCUAUGUCUUCACAAAACUCUACGUAUGUCCAGGAAUGUAUCUAAAGCGUCGAACGGCUCGGCUCCAUGCCCGGUCGCCGACGGUAAAGAACCAUAAUACAACUUUCAGCAACGGAUCUCUUGGCUCUC